GUAACAGUAGUAGUGGUGGUAGUGGUUGUAGUGAUGGUGGUGGUAAUGGUAGUGUACACAAGUGGUAAUGUGGAGAGUGCUUCUCAAUCAUUGCCUUCCUGACAGUGGUGCGCGACGGUAGCAGCGCGACAGCAGACUGACUUGCGACCAAUGGACGACGUGUGGGCGGUGUGGGGAGCGGUAUGGCUGACUUUGAUAGCGGAUGGAGCAAGCCGACCACCUCCGCCAGCCAAUGGGUUCUGCUUCGUGGCGGCACGCUCUGGCACUGACAGGACAGUCUUCCAAAGUUUGACUGAGAUCAAACCAAAUUCGCCUUGGCAUUGCAAGUACUACUGCUGGCAGCAGGGCCACACCCACGCCUCUGUCGAAUACGGACAGUAUUGUGGCUGCGCAUCGUUAACGGACUUUGAAAUCCUGGUGGACAACCCAUCCGCCGAGUGUACGAGUGUGUGCCUGGACAACGCCUGUAUGAUCUGUGGAGGCUUAUAUGUGGCUAACUUUUACACUGUGGAAGAUAUAGUACCAUACCCUCCAGACGACGUAUGCACUCCAGCAACAACAACUGGAGUCACCACUGCGGCAACAACCUUGCCACCCACGACCCUCCUUAGUCUCCUACCUACCACUAUUCCUAGUACCCUGCCAGCAGCC